GACGAACGCUGGCGGCGUGCCUAAUACAUGCAAGUAGAACGCUGAAGGAGGAGCUUGCUUCUCUGGAUGAGUUGCGAACGGGUGAGUAACGCGUAGGUAACCUGCCUGGUAGCGGGGGAUAACUAUUGGAAACGAUAGCUAAUACCGCAUAAUAGUACAUGUCGCAUGACAUUUGCUUAAAAGGUGCAAUUGCAUCACUACCAGAUGGACCUGCGUUGUAUUAGCUAGUAGGUGAGGUAACGGCUCACCAAGGCAACGAUACAUAGCCGACCUGAGAGGGUGAUCGACCACACCGGGACUGACGCACGGCCCAGACUCCUAAGGGAGGCAGCAGUAGGGAAUGUUCGGCGAUGGACGGCAGUCUGACCGAGCAACGCCGCGUUAGUGGAGAAUGUUUUCGGAUCGUAAAGCUCGGUUGUAAGAGAAGAACGAGUGUGAGAGUGGAAAGUUCACACUGUGACGGUAUCUUACCAGAAAGGAACGGCUAACUACGUG
rnacentral:rRNA from 1 species